GACGAACGCUGGCGGCGUGCCUAACACAUGCAAGUCGAACGGAGAGGCCCUGCUCUUGUAGGAAGUUCAAGAGCCGAACGGGUGAGUAACACGCGUGUAACCUGCCCUUGACUUCGGGAUAAAUUCAGGAAACACGGGCUAAUACCGGACAGAAGCACCUGCUGCAUGGUGGGGGUUGGAAAGAUUCGGCGGUUGGGGAUGGACUCGCGGCCUAUCAGCUUGUUGGUGGGGUGGUGGCUUAACAAGGCUCCGACGGGUAGCUGGCCUGAGAGGGUGACCGGCCACAUUGGGACUGGGAUACGACCCGGACUGCAACGGGAGGAAGCGGUGAAGGUUAUUGCACGAUGGGCGGAGGCCUGAUGCAACGUCGCCGCGUGCUGGAUGACGGCCGGCAGGUUGUAAAGCGCUUUCGCCUGUGACGAAGCGUGAGUGACGGUAAUGGGUAAAGAAGCACCGGCUAACUACGUG
rnacentral:rRNA from 1 species